rnacentral:rRNA from 1 species
UGUAGGCGCAGCGAAAGCGAGUCUUAAUAGGGCGCAUGAGUUAGAUGGAUCAGACCCGAAACCGAGUGAUCUAGGCAUGACCAGGAUGAAGGUGCGGUAACACGCACUGGAGGUCCGAACCCACACCUGUUGAAAAAGGUCGGGAUGAGUUGUGCCUAGGGGUGAAAGGCCAAUCAAACUCGGAGAUAGCUGGUUCUCUGCGAAAUCUAUUUAGGUAGAGCGUCGACCGAAUACCCUCGGGGGUAGAGCACUGGAUGGGCUAUGGGGGCUUACCGCCUUACUGAUCCUAACCAAACUCCGAAUACCGAGAAGUACUAUCCGGCAGACACACAGUGGGUGCUAACGUCCAUUGUGAAGAGGGAAACAACCCUGACCGCCGAUUAAGGUCCCCAAGUUAUGGCUAAGUGGGAAAGGAAGUGGAAAUCCCAAAACAACCAGGAUGUUGGCUUAGAAGCAGCCAUCAUUUAAAGAAAGCGUAACAGCUCACUGGUCUA